rnacentral:rRNA from 1 species
UACGUAGGGGGCAAGCGUUGUCCGGAAUCAUUGGGCGUAAAGAGCGUGUAGGCGGCCUGGUAAGUCCGCUGUGAAAGUCCAGGGCUCAACCCUGGGAUGCCGGUGGAUACUGUCGGGCUCGAGUCCGGAAGAGGCGAGUGGAAUUCCUGGUGUAGCGGUGAAAUGCGCAGAUAUCAGGAGGAACACCGGUGGCGAAGGCGGCUUUCUGGACGACAACUGACGCUGAGACGCGAAAGCGUGGGGAGCAAACAGG